AAGCAACAUUCACGUCUGCUGUGCCAUCCCCAGCCACAAGGUUCUGAUUAUGAUUAACGAAUGCUCUUCAGAAUUCAAACAUCUUGAAAAACAGCCAGUGCCUUGAAAAUAACAAUAAAAGUAAGGUGGCGCAGGCUUUUGAAGUCGUUAGGGAAACGAUCACUGUGAUCUUUGUACCACGGCUGCAGAGAGAGGACAUCAUUUCACAUUUUUGGCGUUGUUAAUGACAGCACAGCGACAGAAAGCAAGCAGGAGUUUCUGGGAGUAGCGUUAGGAUGCGGGCUCCUGCUGAGCGCCCCAUUCCUGGCUCUGCACAGCUGCCUUCUCAGCUGGGGGUUUGAAGUCAGCACUGAGAAAAGACAGACGUGCCCGUGGUGAGCGCAUGCUCCUCGCUAUGAGACAAAGAUUUGAAAGUUCGCUUCAGAAUCGUGCUGAACAUCAACACAGACUAUGUAUCAACAGUCUCAUCAAAACCGUCAACUAACCUGGGCCUGGUGGCGCAGAGGCCUGGAUGAACUCUCCACCCAAACUAAACAUACGUGCACAAGAAGUUCUGAUCAUGGCGCUGAAGACAAUUAGGCGCAGGAGCAGGUGGAGAACCCAGACUUUCAGCCGUGACUCAGUUAAAACCAAAUUGCUCAGCCCAGGACCUGUCCAUCUCACACUGGCUGGCCAGGGAGCACUUGCACGCCAGGGGUGACCUGAGCUGAGGUGGCCUCUGAGGACUCCAGCCCCAGCAUCCUUCCUUAGGAGAACCAGCCCUGGCCACCGAUGCACUCUGUCUUCCAGCCUGACGACAGAGAGUUUUCCAGUUCCUUGACUUCAACUAACUGGCCCCUUCUUUCCACAUCACCCUGGUCACCUGACCAAACAAAUGGAGAAAUCUUCCAGAAAUGAGCCAAAAUGCUAGUUCUGUGGCCUAUGCCCAUCCUCAAAAAUGGUCUGAAAGCUCCACCAUGAAAGCAGACUUCCAUCCCUUACUUUAAACUGGAGUAUGUUCAUGCUGGAAAACCAAAACCUACUGUUACACGUUCCAGUAACUCUAGGUUAUUAUUCAUUGAGGUUCAUCAAAGCCAUUUUAUUUAAAACUCUAGACUGACAAGAUAAUGAAUUUCAGCUGAUGUGGGAAAUAGAGUUAUAAGAGGCCAGACAUGGCAGUGCGCACCUCUAAUUCCAGCACUUGGGAGGGCAGAGGAAGAAAGACAAUGAAUUUAAGGCCAACUCAGUAUACAAGUGAGCAGUUCUGACAUGCUGUUGGCCUGGAGAUUUACACUGCUUGUCAACUCAGCAGGAGGUUGGGUCACCUUGCGGACAAACCUCUGGAUAUUUCCCUGAAGGACUUUUUGCACUGGAUUAAUUGGGGUGGGAAGGCCCUCCCCCCCACCCUUUCUGCUUGACUCACUGAAAAGGAGAAAGACAGUGAAAUGCUAGAAUUAUCUCUCUGCUUUGUGACUGUGGAGUCCACGUGCCCAGCUGUUGCACACUCUGGCCUCUGUAUCUUCCCCACCACAAUGGGCUGUAUCAUCCCACCAAACUAUAAGCUGGAGCCUUUCUCCAUCAGUUGCUCCUUAGGUUUGUCUGCUGUUCAUCUGUAGCCAUGGGAUGAAGAAUUGAUACAACUGUGCCAUCUCUACUGCAAUAGCAAGUAAACUUUCAGGCGAAUAUACACAAAAUAUCCAGUUUUUAAAUGCCUACAAGAUAUUCUGUCAGGCUAAUGUAGAUAUUUAUAUUCAUCACAUAGAGUGGAUUAUUUUUCUGCCUUAGUAAGAUAUGGUAGAUAUUUUUUCCUUGAAUCUUCUCUCUUGUUCUUGAAUACCAUUAAAUGACUAAAAAGUCUGCUUUCGGGGUGACUUCUCUUCAGUGGUGUGCUCCAAUACUGAUGGUUCAAUGUCUUGAAAUUUAUGAAGCAGUUAAGCAUGCUUGUUAUUUAAAAUUAAACCUUAAAAUUCUACACUUAAGUCUUCUGAAACAAAAUGAUCACUGUUCAGUACUUACUGUUUUCUAAUAUUUGGCGUUGUCUGUAUUCUUGCUAUUGUGCCUAUUGAAUUCAGAUGGUAAAAAGACCCCCGCAUUCGGUACUUUUGAACAUCCCUUUUCACCGUUGCCGUCACUGGCGUUAGUCACGUAGCUUGAACCACCUACAUGUCUUUGAAUAACUUACAUUUUCAUUUUGAAUAUUGUCAAAUACUACAAGCCAGAGGCUUAUUUCUUAUAUUGCACUAUAACAAACAAUGGUCCUUGCUGUGGAUUCCAGUGUCUCCUAUCUCCAUAAAUCAUGCAAAUGGGAAGUUUUCUCUUUGUUUCUGUGGUAAAGAAUAUCCCUGUUAGAAGCUGGCCUUGUCAGUGCACCCUUUCAAGCUUAACACCCAGGGGGCAGAGAUAGGAGAAUUUCUGUGAGUUCAAAACCAGCCCUUAGACUUCAUGUUGAAUUCCAGGUUAGUUAGCCUGGGCUACAGUGACACCCUACCUCAAAAAAAAAAACAAAAAAAAAAAAACCCACAAAGAAUAUUCCUAUUAAGUAUUUAUCCUAACUGCAGUUGCAGAGAUCACCAAGGAACUUUUCAGUGAUGCAUAUGAGAGAUCCGUUUUACCAUUCUUAUGGUCUGGCCUUCUGGGGAUGAGCACUAGGAAACAAAAUCAACUUGAAACAGGAAUAUAUGUGGUGGCCUUUUCCCUGAUUAUGCCUCCAUCUUUGAUUUCUCCUAUACUCUUUCCUUCACUGAGGCACUUCUUUUGGCCAACUACCUCUAAACAUCUUCCAGUGUCUGCAUUCUAGUGCAAGAUGCAGUAUUCUGUUGUCCCCAAGUGAAAUAUUAUUUCUAUAAAAAUCACUGGUCAUAUUAUUGAUUGUUCUUCCACCAACCUGCUAAUUUCAUAUGUUGGAAUUACAACUUCCAUUACUUCAGAACAUCACCUUAUACAUUAAUAGGGCCAUUGCUGAUGAUAGUUGAAUUCAUUUGUUGCAAUGUGGUUUUUACUAAAAUAGUCAUUAAACCCAAAUGACUGGUAUAUUUAUAAGAAGGAAAACUUAGAGUUGCCGGGUGUGGUGGUGCACGCCUUUAAUCCCAGCACUCAGGAGGCAGAGGUAGGAGGAUCGCCAUGAGUUCGAGGCCACCUUGAGACUACAGAGUGAAUUCCAGGUCAGCCUGGACUAGAGCGAGACCCUGCCUUGAAACACCAAGAAAAAAGAAAAAAAAGAAGGAAAACUUUGGAAACAUGCACACACACACUUAUUGCUAUGCAAACAUGACAGCAGAAAAUAAAUAAGGGUGAUAAAUUUUAAGUUAAUGAAUCCCAGGUUAUAAAAGAAAUACCCCCCCCCACACACACACAAGGGCCAGUGGGAGGGGAGAGCAUUAUGUUUUUCCUCCUGUAGAAGGACAUGACCUGCUGAGGCACUUCUAAACGUUUAGCCUCCAAAAUGGUGAGGCAACAACUUCUUGUUGAUGCUACCGAAUUCAUCCUGCUAUUUUAUGGCAGCCAUGAAACUAAUAAACCAUCAAUUUUUACAUUUA